UUCCCUUUUAACUUGGAAGUUUUUCAGAUGCAGUGCUGGAUCUUUCUGAACUUCUGUAUAACUCAUAAUAUCCAGGAAGAAGAAAUACCCUGUGUAGUGAAGAACUGACUUUACCCAAAGAAGGGUCUAGUCUUUGCCCUUUUCCACAGAGAGAAGACCUCUAGGAUCAUGGAAGGUCAUGCUUGAUAGGACUGUCUUGGUUUUCCUGGAAGCUUUGUCCACUGCAAAGUCUAACAAUGUGAUAUAUGAUGGAGGCAUUGGACACACCAUAUAAAUCCCCAUCUCCCAAGAACCUGAAGACUAAAGCCAUUAACCUUAACCCCCAAGUUCAGCCACACAAGCAGUAUGCAAUCAAGUCCUAAUAAACUGUUGACACCAAAGGAUUGAGUGAGCUUCUCUGUUUGGCAAUACUCUGUGUGUAUGGUCCUCAUGUGGCAGGAGAAGGCCACAAGAAGAAGACAAUCAGAAGCUCCAUGUUUGGACUGCCUGAACUUUGUAUUUUUUCUCCCUUCACUUGGUAGAUUUUAAUUGUAUACUUUCACUAUUCUAGAAAACAGUAAUAAGUAUAGCACUUUCCUGAGUGUCACUUUCCUGAGAUCAUCCCUUAAUUUGUCCAAGGUUGGACCUGAAUUCAAUAAAUUUCCCUUCCUUAUUUUAACUACUCAUUUUGCUAACAUUUGCUAAUACUUGAUUUUUCUGGAGAUAAACUUUGAGUCCUUGCAAAUAUGAAAAGCUGUCCUCAUCUUUUUUUGAUAAAUUUAACUGAAAUAAAUUAUAGAUCAGAAACCAUUUUCCUAGUGGAUUUUGAAGACUUUGCUCUAUAGUCUCCCUAGAUACAUCUUUUCUCUUUAAUUUCCUAUCUCUCUAAUAUUUGUUUGUUUAACAAAGGAGAUUUCUUGGCCUUAUCGUCAAACCACACUAGUAUACUUUCUUGCUCACUAUUUGAUCUCCAGCAUGUAGAACAGUGUCUCCUAUAAGUAGGGUCACAAUAAAUAUUCAUUGAUCUUUUACA